UAUGGUCUAGUGGUAUAGGAUUUGGAUCCCAACCAUAAGGUCCAGGGUUCGA
rnacentral:tRNA from 15 species